AGUAUAUAAAUGGUGCUGAAGGGGUGUCAGGCCGUUCUAGGCUCAUGCGUGUCUGCGCGCUGGGCUGCUCCGUUCCCGGCUUAGAGGACCAGGACAAGGGCUAGCCACCGCUGCAUGCUGGAGGCUGUGGCUGCGGCACCACAGCUCGCCUCGCUGCGGUUGGUGGCAGCGACGGAGACUGCAGUGUGGCUGGAGCGCCCAGGGAUGCAGGGGAGGUCCCAGCAAGUGGCCACGCCAGCUGCUGCCCUUCUCCCCUGGCCAUUGACACAUCUGGUUCACCUCAGCAUCCCUAGGUGUUACGAGGAGGGCAGAGUGUAGCCAGCCCUGGCCUGGGAAUGCACCAACACGGGGUCCCUGCUGUGGUCAUGGACAUGUUCACCCAUGUGGACAUCUUCAAAGACCUGCUGGAUGCCGGCUUCAAGAGGAAAGCAGAUUUGUACAUCAUCGUGGACGGGAGUAAAGUCAAGUACGUUCUGCAUAUGUGUGAGCAGACCCGCAUGCACCUGGGGCACCUCAAGGUGAGCAGGCUCCUCACUUGCCUACGUGGCCAGAUGGCAGGGGUCAUUCAGUUUGUCAAACACCUCGAGUACCUGCCUGCUCUGGACGGAGUCCUGUGCCAGGCACUCAGAGUCCAGUAAUCCUAGAGCCUCUGCUUGAAUUCCCUGAGGGACAGGAUACUUGCCAUGUCUGAUGGGACAGAGAUAAGAUAAACAUUGAUGAGGUGCUUGCUGACCAGGUGCUGGAGCUCAUGCCAAGUGCUGCAUCAUAUGUUAUUUCAGAGCAGCCCAUGCCACAUUGGUUACCUGUCUGCUUGCAUACCCCUGGUCAUAGUGUGCUCACUAUGUCCUCAGGUAGCUCGUGGCCUAUCUGGAGAGAUUCAGUUCCCAGGAAGUCUUUCUUGGGUUAAGCCAAAACCUGUCUCCUUAGAAUGUCCAUUUACUGGUUUUAGGAUCUGGCUCAGACAGAAGCAGCUCUCCCUCAGGCUGAGGCCAGGGAAGGCUUCCUUGAUGUCUGCACAGUUGAAGUGGAUUUGAGGCACAUGAGCAGAGUAGAACCUUUAGGGUGGGGAGAAACCACGGAACAGAGGUGGAUCAGAGACGGCUGCCAGUGGGGUCAAGGUGGGCUGCAGGUCCCCAGUGCUGCUUUUCUGUGUGUCCCUGGGCAUGUCACCUCCCCUUUCUGGGCUAUACAACAUCUCAUUGCUCCAACUCUGUUCUACCCAGACACCCUGGCAUUUGGUGUCUGGCUAAUUUUUUUUUUUUUUUUUUUUUGAGACCGAGUCUUGCUCUGUCACCUAGGUUGGAGUGCAGUGGUGCGAUCUCGGCUCACUGCAACCGCUGCCUCCUGGGUUCAAGCAAUUCUCCUGCCCCAGCCUCCCAAGCAGCUGGGACUACAGGCGCGCACCACUACGCCCAACUACUUUUUGUAUUUUCUGUAGAUACGAGGUUUCACCAUAUUGGCCAGGCUGGUCUCAAGCUCUGGACCUCGUGAUCCACUUGCCUCGGCCUCCCAAAGUGCUGGGAUUACAAGCGUGAGCCACCGCACCCAGCUAGUGUCUGGCUAAUUUUUUUGUAUUUUUAGUAGAGACAAGAGUUUCACCAUGUUGGGCAGGCUGGUUUCGAACUCCUGACCUUGUGAUCCAUCCACCUUGGUCUCUGAAAGUGCUGGGAUUACAGGUGUAAGCCACUGUGCCCAGCCAAUAAAAGCCAGUUUUAAAACUGAAAAAACAGCUUUGAAAUUGAGGGCUGCAUUUUUACAGAGAAUAUUUUCCAGCAUGUGCAAUCUAACAUAGUAGCACUAUACUCCUCACUUAAACAGACUAGCUUUUAUAAUGAAUGAUUUUGUUUUAAAAUGUGAGUAACAGCACACCAGGGGCUGUGACAGCAUGAUCGCUUCUGUUAACAUCUCUUUCUAAUACCGUAGUCCCACGUAAGCUGCAUUUGGCUUUCACGGUUUCACUUACCUACAGGCAAUCCUGGUCUGAAAACAUUAAAUGAAAAAUCCACAGAUAAACAACUGACAAGUUUUAACUUGCUGUGCUGUUCCAAGUAGUGUGGUGGGAGCUCCUGUCAUCCCCCUCUACUCAAGGCCCACCCAGGACGUGAAUCAUCUCUGCCCACAACAUCUACCUGUCUACCUUCCCACUUGUUAGUCACUUAGCAGCUCUCUGAGUCGUCAAAUCCUCUGUUGAGAUAUCACAGUGUUUGUGUUCAAAGAAAUCUUGUUUUACUUAAUGGCCCCAAAGUGCAAAAGUACUGAUGCUGGCAAUUCAAAAAUGCCAAAGAGAAGCCAUAAAGUGUUCCUUUUAAGUGAAAAGGUGAAAGUUAAUCAUAGGGCAUGCAUGUGUAGAAACAAAGAUAAUCUAUAUUGGAUUUAGUACUAUCUGUGGUUUCAGGCAUCCUCUGAAGAUCUUGAAAUGUAUCCCCUAUGGAUAAAGGAGGACUACUAUAUUCUCAAUGGAUUUUGCAAGAAGAAAAUUAAUCAUUCACAAAAUAUUUUAACCUUAGAAUUUAAAUAAAUGUGUAUAUUCUCUACAAGUUAAACACAAAUAUUGUAAUA
rnacentral:lncRNA from 1 species